rnacentral:pre_miRNA from 1 species
CAUAUACUCCCUCCGUCCGAAAAUACUUGUCAUCAAAAUGGACAAAAAGGGAUGUAUCUAGAACUAAAAUACAUCUAGAUACAUCCCAUUUUAUUUAUUUUGAUGACAAGUAUUUCUGGACGGAGGGAGUAGUAU